rnacentral:rRNA from 1 species
AUGGCAGCAAAGAAACAUCUCUUUCGCUUUGGGUCUUUCGCGAUAAAGGACGGGUCAGAGAUUCGUUUCUGGGAAGACAUCUGGCUUGGCAAUGCUAGUCUCGGAGAACAAUAUCCAGCCUUGUACAACAUUGCUCGCGACAAGAAUAAUACUAUUGCGCAGGUGCUCAAUUCAUCCCCGCCAAAUAUUUCGUUCAGGCGGUAUUUGAUUGGCCCCCGACUUGUGUCAUGGCAUAAUCUUUUAUCCCGGCUGGAUACGAUUAACCUGACACAAGGUCGAGAUGUGUUUCGCUGGAACCUUACUACAUCAGGGUCUUUCACUGUAGACUCUAUGUACCAUGCUCUCACACAUUCGGAGGUACCGGUGAGUAAUAACAAGAAAAUUUGGAAGUCCAAGAUUCCACUAAAAGUGAAAAUCUUCAUGUGGUAUCUUUGUAGAGUUGUGUUAACCACAGACAACCUCGUUCGACGCAACUGGCACGGGAGUAAGAAGUGUUGUUUUUGUACUCAUGACGAGACAAUCAAACACGUCCUUUUCCAAUGUAAGUUUGAACGUUCUACGUGGUCAGUCAUCCAAAUAGCGUCAAAUUUGUAUUCGCCCACAAGUGUUGCCAAUAUUUUUGGUCAUUGGUUAGACGGUAUUCCAAAUAGGUUCAAGACGCUAAUAAGGGUGGGAGCGUAUGCCUUAGUUUGGUCGCUUUGGCUAUGUAGAAAUUAUUUGGUUUUUAAUGACAAAAGUGCUUCUCCUCUGCAAGUUAUUUUCCGGUGUACGCACUCGCUUCGUACAUGGUCUAUACUACAACGAGCAGAGUAUCAACCGUUGUUCAAGGUGGUGUGUACGCGAUUGGAGUAG